CCUGCCCACAGAAGCACUGCAGGUGUGGCUGCUGUGUCACAUGUGAGUCAGUAGGUAGCUGAAAGGAGAGAGGCAGAAAGUGGAAGGAAGAGUUGACCCCAUGAGGUCAUGAGAGCUUGCCCUGCCCCUCACC